UCUCUCUCUACCCUUCCAGCUAGAUUGUCUGUUGUGACCUCAACCCCCUGCUGGUAGGGUCCCACCUUUCACUGGCCUCCCUCGGCCUCCACAGGGCACCUGUUAGAACUGUGUGCAAACCACGAGGGAAUAGGCGCUGAGGGGCUCUCUCGGGAGUGAACUCGCCAACUUAGUGUUUGGAGGUUGUGCCUCAAGUUACGGCUGCCCUGAUAAGGAAGCUGAAGACCGGAGAAAUCAACCAGCUUGCUGAAGGUUGCUUGGCUGAACCACCUUUCUACAGGCUUUGGUGUCUCAGCGCGGGAGGCACAGAUGGCGAGGUCUGCCUUUGGCCAGGUGUGGGCGCCCAGUGUUGGGGGAGAAGACUGCAGGCACAGAAGACUGAACUCACAGGCAGAAGGAGAAAGUGAAGAGAAGAGAGGGAGAAGGGCCCUGACCGAGGCCACCAGCUUUCUUUGAUUCUGUGUUGAAAGGUGCGAGGUGCUGGAGCCGGGAAGAGGUGCGUUCUUGCUCUCGACAGGAAGUGUCAUGUGAGUUUCCGGUUCCCUCUCCUCCACUACCACUCUGGAUCCUCACACCAGCCCACAGAGGGAGACAGGAAGGGAGGCACAAAGGCAGGGCAGGGAAUACUGUGCCUGUUUUCCAGAUGAAGACACGAAGGCCAAGAGAGGGAAAGUGAGUCGGCCAAGGUCCUCCAGCUAGUCGGGGUUGAGCGUGUUUAACCUUAGGAAACGUGACUGCAGAGCAAGGGGCUUUCAUCUUCCUGUGGGAAUUCGCCCCCUUUCUCACAGGGGCCCUCAAGAGACUAGGCAGGCUCCUCCUGCAAAGGAUUCCUCUUUGUCCAUUUGAGAGGCCUCACCCCAGGCUCUAGGAGCUGACAUGAUUCAGCUCAAGGAAGACUCAGUAUGAAGGGAGAACCAGGAACCUGGGCCUCUGCCCCUCACCUGUGGCCUUGAACAGGUCACUUCUCCCCUCAAGCCUUGGUGUCCUCCCCUGUAGAGCUGAGGGGGUGAGGAGUAGAUGAGCUGAUCCUUCAGUUUGCUGCCCUCUUUGACCCGGAAGUGCUGGGCCUGCACAACCCUGCAUCCCUGGCACCAGUGCUCCUAGCCCCACCCUGCUCCAGAUGCCCAGUGCCUGAAGAGCCAGCUCCCCAUCAGCACUCAGUCCUGGGGCAGAGCCAGGCCUGGCAAUGCUGGGGGAGACCCUGGAGGGGAACAUCAUGGGCCACCAGGGGCACGCUGCAAAUGCAGCAACUAAUGCACCAGGGGCGCCAGGGUGCAAUCUAUCUAAGCAGUUCUCUCACGCUCUUUGCACGUUAAUAAUGCAUGGGCAGCCGGUGUGGGGGCCAUCACAGGCCCAACGUCAGGUGGCAUUAGGA
rnacentral:lncRNA from 10 species